rnacentral:rRNA from 1 species
AAUGAGUACGAUUCGAACCACCUAACGAGGAACGAUCGGAGGGCAAGUCUGGUGCCAGCAGCCGCGGUAAUUCCAGCUCCAAUAGCGUACGUUAAAGUUGCUGCAGUUAAAAAGCUCGUAGUUGAACGUUCGGGUUCCGCGGGACGGGGCCGCCCCGCGAGGGACGGCGCCGCCCCGGGGGCUCGUGAUAUCUCAUCUCGCCGCCCGUCGCGAGGCGGACGGAGGGAUGGAUGAGGUUACCUGGAAAAAAUCGGGGCGAUCUAGGCGGGCGAACCUCGCCAACGAACGAUCGGACAUGGGAUAACGGAAGAGGGCGUCGGCUCGACUUCGUCGGUUCCUCGGGCCGAGGCACGUACGGUGAAUAGGGACGGUCGGGGCCGCCCGUACCGGGUCGUGAGAGGUGAAAUUCUAGGAUCGACCCGAGACGAACCGC